rnacentral:rRNA from 1 species
AGCAGUCGCCGCGGGAAUACGAGGGGGGCUAGCGUUGUUCGGAUUAACUGGGCGUAAAGGGCGCGUAGGCGGGUUUUUAAGUCAGAGGUGAAAUCCCAAGGCUCAACCUUGGAACUGCCUUUGAUACUGGAAGUCUUGAGUCCGGGAGAGGUGAGUGGAACUGCGAGUGUAGAGGUGAAAUUCGUAGAUAUUCGCAAGAACACCAGUGGCGAAGGCGGCUCACUGGCCCGGUACUGACGCUGAGGCGCGAAAGCGUGGGGAGCAAACAGGAUUAGAUACCCGUGUAGCCCUGUCUCUUAUACA